CUAGGUUACUCCAAUCCUUGACUUACCCUGCUCUGCUGUGAGAACCUACGCUCCUGGGCUGUUCACGCACAGUCUCUGACAUGUAAGCUGUAGCAGAAUACUUGCAAG